UACGUAGGGUGCGAGCGUUGUCCGGAAUUAUUGGGCGUAAAGAGCUCGUAGGCGGUGUGUCACGUCGGCCGUGAAAACCCGCAGCUCAACUGUGGGCUUGCAGCCGAUACGGGCGGGCUAGGAUUCGGUAGGGGAGACUGGAAUUCCUGGUGUAGCGGUGAAAUGCGCAGAUAUCUGGAGGAACACCGGUGGCGAAGGCGGCAUCCUGGACCAACACUGACGCUGAGGAGCGAAAGCCAGGGGAGCAAAGCGGGG
rnacentral:rRNA from 1 species